CAAUCUUAAUCUCUGAAGUGCUCAUGCAGUAAGUGUUUAAGCAUGUGAUUAAGCCCAUUCUUAUGCAGCGAAGCAUUUCAGCACAGGCUUUGGGGUGAAUUAAGCAUGUGUUCAGGAAUGCUGGAUCAAGGUCACUAAGCUUUCCAAGAGUCCCAUGCCUGUUUGUACAAACUGUCCCAGUGACUUCUUUUGGCUCAUGUUGGAAGGAACUGGCUGCUCUUCCUUAAAAGCCAGACUCUGUAAGGUGAAACUGGAUUCAAAAUGUUAAUUUGAAUUUGGGAGAAGCAGUACCUUGAGUCCUUGAUUUAAGCAGUAAUAGCAAGGAGGGCUUUUAAAGGAAGAAAUUAAUUUUGUUGUAUUUGAGGACACAGAGCUAAAACUACUUCAAUUACAUGAAUAAAUGUGCUUUGUGCUCUGUAUCAGUAGCAGGACUUCGUGUAAACCCUGGGAAUGGCACUUGGGAAGUGACAGAAUGACCCUUUUUGUAUCCACUCCCUUCCCUUCCCUUGGAUGCCCAGGUAGAGCUGGGAAAAUGAGGCAGGCACAAACACCAAAUGUGGAGGGUCUGAAGCCCCACUCAUUCAUCUGCCUGGCUAAUCCAACUUUAAUCCCAGUUUCAGGCAUUAGAUUAGCAAAAGAGCAGGAUCUCUGGGCUAGAGGACAGAAGUAGAAAGCAGAGAGGGUAACUUUGCCUGGCUUCAAAGGAAAGAUGCAGUUUAACUGAGCGAGCAGUGGAAGCAAGGGAAUGGUUAGAGGUUUGCCUUCUUGUCCCAGACACAUUAUUUACAGUGGGUUGGUUUCCUUUUGGAAGGGCCCUCUGUAAAAGGAGACAUUCCCAGUGUUUCUGUGGGUUAGACCAGUAUCACAUUACUGUUUUCUUUCCUGGACUCUUGACUGACAUGAUUUCCUGAAGUUGCUCUUCUCUCGGGAAGGUGAGCUCAGGAAAGAGUAGGUGUUUCUUAAAAAUCCAGGGUCUUGGAAAGCAGAAUCAUGGGGAUGGUCUCCUCGUUCUAGACAGGUCAGUCCUCAGUGCUGCAUCAUUCUCUUUAUCUCCCAGGGCAGGGCAAGGGCUGGGAAAGGAGUGGGAGACAGAAUCCUUCAGGUUUGAUAAGAGAGAGGUCUGUAAAUCCUGUUGGAGCAGCCUGCAGAGGCCAUGGCAGGAGCCACAGGAGCUGCACCAGGCCAGCAGCCAUCCCUCCUGGUGGGCAGGGAGGUCAAGGGCAGCUGACCUGGAUUUCCUGAUCCCUGCCUUUGCUUAAGCCACCUUCCUGCCCCCAGGCCACAGCAGACAGCGUGCUCAUCCUGGUGUCUUCUGAGUGGUUUGUAUGGGACAACAAACACAUCGAGACUAAAAACUCUUCCAUGGAGCAGAAAGAUGACAACUGGGCUGGGAAUCCCCACCUUUUCUCAGAAAAACUCCUGCUCUUUCAUCACCUCACAGGCUGAUUUCAUAAGGGAUUAAUCUGACUUGAGCUAUGCCCUCCUGGCAGUGGGAAUCCUCUAUUUCCAUUAUGUGUGAAAAUAAGCAUUUCUGGGGGGACUGAUUUGAAGCAGGCAUUGAAUCCUCCUCCUUCUGAAGGCAACUUUAAUAAAUAACAGGGUAUGAACACAAAUUGCUGAGUGCUUGUUGAAGAACAACUGGAGAAAUCCCUUUAGAAAGCCAAACUGCUGCCAUGGGUUUCACUUGGAGCUGCUGCUGGCCCCAUAGUGUGGGGCUGUGAGUUCAGCUGAGAGCAAGUGUGGCUUCAUCAUGAGGUAGCUUGCCUGGGGGACACUUCAAAACCCUGCGAGCUGACAAUUUCCACAGCUGAUUGUGCUUGCUGAGCUGCUGCCCUGUGUGUGCUCAGCGUCACCAGACCAAGGGAAUGGCAGCUGUAGAGCACAGCACAGGCUCCUCUCCCUUUCCUGCACUCCCCAAGCAGGAGAGGAGUUCAUUUAUUAUGAUAUAGUCUAUAUUUUCCCUCUUCCCAAAGCACCUCGCUCAGCGGGAAGUUGCCAUAGCCCUGGAAACUCGUGGCCAUUAUAAUUAUCGUCGCUCAGUUGUGUGACAUAAUGUUCUUUUAGUAAUCAAACCUUAGGCUGCUUUGGGCACUGUUGCCUGAGAAUAAUCAUAGGUCGGUUUUUUAAGUGGCAGGAGCUUGAUUCUGGGCUGGUGCCUCAUCCUGAGCUAUUGCUGAUUCCGUGGAUUUGCUGCACAGGCUCCGCAGGGUGUAAUCGCCGGCGCUUUGUGGCAGGCUGGCAGCUCUCUGCUGUGCCAGGUGCCUGUUUCCAAC